rnacentral:lncRNA from 1 species
ACCACUCCCUGUAGAUGACAACGUGAAAGCGCAUAGGAAACCUUAAGACCAUUAUGGUAAAGUAUGACCAUAGUCAUAGCCUUUAGGACCACAGUAGUUGGCAUGACCGUGGUUACAGAUUAUACUGUGGUUUGGUGAGCUGCAAAUCUAAUAUGAUGUGUUGAGUGGUAAAUCAGCUAUGGAGUAGUGAGCCACAAAUCUACUAUGGUUGAGUAAGCCGUAAAUUGUCGAUAGUGUCACCAUAGCGGUAGUUGGGAGUCUGUAUUAGCCAAUAGAUAAAAAGUCGUUAUGGGCUUCGCGUGAAGUAUGGUAAAAGACUUAAC